rnacentral:rRNA from 1 species
AACGAUGAUGGGAGCUUGCUCCUGGAUUAGUGGCGAACGGGUGAGUAACACGUGAGUAACCUGCCCUUAACUCUGGGAUAAGCCUGGGAAACUGGGUCUAAUACCGGAUAUGACUCCUCAUCGCAUGGUGGGGGGUGGAAAGCUUUAUUGUGGUUUUGGAUGGACUCGCGGCCUAUCAGCUUGUUGGUGAGGUAAUGGCUUACCAAGGCGACGACGGGUAGCCGGCCUGAGAGGGUGACCGGCCACACUGGGACUGAGACACGGCCCAGACUCCUACGGGAGGCAGCAGUGGGGAAUAUUGCACAAUGGGCGCAAGCCUGAUGCAGCGACGCCGCGUGAGGGAUGACGGCCUUCGGGUUGUAAACCUCUUUCAGUAGGGAAGAAGCGAAAGUGACGGUACCUGCAGAAGAAGCGCCGGCUAACUACGUGCCAGCAGCCGCGGUAAUACGUAGGGCGCAAGCGUUAUCCGGAAUUAUUGGGCGUAAAGAGCUCGUAGGCGGUUUGUCGCGUCUGCCGUGAAAGUCCGGGGCUCAACUCCGGAUCUGCGGUGGGUACGGGCAGACUAGAGUGAUGUAGGGGAGACUGGAAUUCCUGGUGUAGCGGUGAAAUGCGCAGAUAUCAGGAGGAACACCGAUGGCGAAGGCAGGUCUCUGGGCAUUAACUGACGCUGAGGAGCGAAAGCAUGGGGAGCGAACAGGAUUAGAUAGCCUGGUAGUCCAUGCCGUAAACGUUGGGCACUAGGUGUGGGGGACAUUCCACGUUUUCCGCGCCGUAGCUAACGCAUUAAGUGCCC